GUGAAAACUGCGGGCUCCGAGCUGGGUGCAGCAACCGGAGGCGGCGGCGCGUCUGGAGGAGGCUGCAGCAGCGGAAGACCCCAGUCCAGAUCCAGGACUGAGAUCCCAGAACCAUGAACCUGGCCAUCAGCAUCGCUCUCCUGCUAACAGGUACCCGGCAUGGGGCAGGACUGGGGCUCCAGGCGCCCUGGCUUCCUUCCCUCCAGAGAAGCAGCUUCUCCCUCACAGUCUCAGAAAAGCGCAGGUGACAAAGAGAGGGCUCUUUUUCAUCCUGAAGUCAGCCAAUCCACCGCGCUGAUAUUCUGACGGCCUGAGGUGGUUUUUGAAAACACAGUUUGCUGAGCCCUCCUUCACACUAUUGAACUAGAAUCCCCAACUGAGAACCCGGAACCAGCAUCAACUCCCUAAGAUCUCCUGUCCUUGAAACACAUUGAUAGGAUCCAAGGCUCAAGCAGAGUGGGGAGGGAGGCUGGGGUCUGCAAAGGAGAAGUGGGAUCCCUGGGGUGGGGAAAGGCACUCAGAGAGCAGACCCCGGUCCCCUCCCUAGCCAGGCCCAUCUCUCCACUUCAGGUGGGUGGGAGGCCCCUGUGCCGCAGGCCCCUCCAGUUUG
rnacentral:lncRNA from 1 species